GGGCAGUGAUUGCCGAUAAUUUACAAGUGUGAUACUUCAUGGAAACAGAUACUUCAUCCAAGUUGUUCAUGCUGACCUGACAUCCCAAUCUGACCUUGUCCCCAGACCCGUAUUGUUAUCUCUGAUUUCUCUUCAUGAACGCUGCCAAACCUGAUGAGCUUUGUCAGCAACUUCCAUUUUUUUUAGAUUAAACCAGGUUUCAACCAGGUCUGUUCUCAAUGCAAUUCUUUUGGAUUUCAUGUGAAUCCUUUUGGAGAGAUGAAGUGUGGGAGCUCUAACCUUCUAAGAAAGGAUAUUACCAGCAAAACAUCAUCCCCAUAUUCACUUGCCUCUGAUGGAGCAAACCACCUGGAGCCAGGAUAUGUGUACUGCUGUCCAGGACAGGGUGUCUCUUGGACCUUGUGGACUCGCGGAGCAAUCAAUGUGAUAUUAAUUUACCCAGAUACCUUUGCAUGUAUGUAGCUCGAGGCAGCAGUCAGUGAACCAUGGAGCAACUUUAUUCAAAGGACAGGUGACAUGGAUAGGUCCAACUGCUGGGAGUAUUCUGUGGCAACGAGGCCAGUCCCAUCCUUCGCAACACCGGGGACAGAUGAAGGUGAUGAUACCUUUCCUUAUGGAUGUACACAAGCUACCUGCCAGAAACAUACUGUCGUACACCUCCAGCAAGUCCUGGCUAAUCAGGUCCCACAGAGCUGAAUACAACUCAUCUGGUAUGCUGUCACUUCAGGAGUUUUAUUGUUUUCUAAGGAUUCAAGGGCCUUGGUCAGCUCAUCCAGAGAUAACGGUUGGUCCAGCCUCUCCCACGAGUUAUUAUCUAAGACCUCCCUGAAUAAGGACAGGAAUGACUGGGAGGCAUCAAGGUAGCAUCUAUUAUUAUCCUCAUGUAAUAUCUGACUAAAUUUAGAUUCCUCCCCACUCUUCUCUACCUGCGGAGAUAUUUUUUCCUACUCUGAGCUUGGCCUGUACUCAUCCAAGCUCCUUCCAUAAGUUCCUUUUAUCAAAUUCUUCCAAUUCUACUUUUGUCAGUCAAUUUGGUGCAUGUCAGGUGUCACUUCUGGCUCAACACUGGUUCCAAAGCAGAUCAGUGCAGUGGCACUGUCAGAGAUUCGGGUGCGUAAAAUUUGGACAAUGAGAAAAUGGCUAAAGGAUGAAGAUGGCAGAAGAAGACAAAAAUGAUGCUAUCUCUUGUACUGUAUGGUGCUGUAACCCUGUACAACCAGGAUGGACUAGCAGAUUCAAGCCACAGUGGUCACAGAAGGUUAUGGCAAUGUUCUUCUAUGACCAGGAUGGAUUAAUGAUGCAUCAUGGUUGGGGUGUAAUGGUGGGUAUAUAUCUGUGAAUCGGGCCCCCUGCCUAGGUAGGAGGGCUCAGGCUGCAGGGGACUUGCUUCUCCAACAUGAAUCAGUGGGAACUUUGGAAAGACUACCUUCAUAAAGGGGCUGUCUCUGUCACUGGGCCACAGCACUGCGCAGGACACUUGUUUCAGUGGACUGUCUGACUAUCUCGUUCACUUCAGGGUUGGUGCUGAAUUGGGAUUGGCCACUUGGAUUGGGUGUCAGACUCCUCCCUCCCAUUCCUAGAGUCUCAGACUCCUCCCUCCCCUUCCUAGAGCGCUGCCUCGUGCUCUC